rnacentral:rRNA from 1 species
AUUGAACGCUGGCGGCAUGCCUAACACAUGCAAGUCGAACGGUAACAGGCAAAGCUUGCUUUGCGCUGACGAGUGGCGGACGGGUGAGUAACGCGUAGGAAUCUGCCCUAAAGUGGGGGACAACCCGGGGAAACUCGGGCUAAUACCGCAUAUGCCCUUCGGGGUAAAGCUGGGGGCCUUCGGGCCUGGCGCUUUAGGAGGAGCCUGCGUUGGAUUAGCUUGUUGGUGAGGUAAAGGCUCACCAAGGCGACGUUCCAUAGCUGGUCUGAGAGGACGAUCAGCCACGCUGGGACUGGAACACGGCCCAGACUCCUGCGGGAGGCAGCAGUGGGGAAUAUUGGACAAUGGGGGGAACCCUGAUCCAGCCAUGCCGCGUGUGUGAAGAAGGCCUUAUGGUUGUAAAGCACUUUAAGCGAGGAGGAGGCUCUUUUGGUUAAUACCCAAGAUGAGUGGACGUUACUCGCAGAAUAAGCACCGGCUAACUCUGUGCCAGCCGCCGCCGUAA